rnacentral:rRNA from 1 species
UACGAAGGGGGCUAGCGUUGUUCGGAAUUACUGGGCGUAAAGCGCACGUAGGCGGAUAUUUAAGUCAGGGGUGAAAUCCCAGAGCUCAACUCUGGAACUGCCUUUGAUACUGGGUAUCUCGAGUAUGGAAGAGGUGAGUGGAAUUCCGAGUGUAGAGGUGAAAUUCGUAGAUAUCGGGAGGAACACCAGUGGCGAAGGCGGCGAUCUGGGAAGAUACUGACGCUGAGGUGCGAAAGCGUGGGGAGCAAACAGG